rnacentral:rRNA from 1 species
AUUGAACGCUGGCGGCAUGCUUUACACAUGCAAGUCGAACGGUAACAGGCCGCAAGGUGCUGACGAGUGGCGCACGGGUGAGUAAUGCAUCGGAACGUGCCCAGUCGUGGGGGAUAACUACUCGAAAGAGUAGCUAAUACCGCAUACGAUCUAUGGAUGAAAGCGGGGGACCGUAAGGCCUCGCGCGAUUGGAGCGGCCGAUGUCAGAUUAGGUAGUUGGUGGGGUAAAGGCUCACCAAGCCAACGAUCUGUAGCUGGUCUGAGAGGACGACCAGCCACACUGGGACUGAGACACGGCCCAGACUCCUACGGGAGGCAGCAGUGGGGAAUUUUGGACAAUGGGUGCAAGCCUGAUCCAGCAAUGCCGCGUGCAGGAAGAAGGCCUUCGGGUUGUAAACUGCUUUUGUACGGAACGAAACGGCUCUGGUUAAUACCCGGGGCUAAUGACGGUACCGUAAGAAUAAGCACCGGCUAACUACGUG